GAAACAUCUUUGCCAAACUUCCCUACCUCACUUUAAAAUUACAUUUUGUUCAAACAAAAAUGAAAUCAUCAAAAUUUUCAUCUUCCAUCUAAAAAGCACAAAUACAAGCUUUGAGGUCCACUCACCGACUCCUCUACCUUGACAUCCUCCCUUUGUUACAUUGUCAGUCACGAAGCAUUACUGAGUAUGAGUAAAUGGUCUUUCUUGGAAGCAUACUCACAAGAACAUGAUGUUUUACACAUGACUUCGUCUUCCUCCCAAAAAUACUAAUAAAUAAAGGCUUCAUGUUUCACUCACUAGCUCCAUUAGCUGUAAAUUCAUACAUUAUCUCUUCCAACUCAGAAGAGUAUAAUAAGAACAGCAUUUUCUUCAAAAAAGAACUUAUUAAUAACAACACCAUGUUGUAAAUAUGACCUCAUAAAAGAAACCUGGUUCAGACAAAAAUUGACCAAGAAAUUCCUCCCAAAUCACAAAUCAUACCAUAAUUUGCCUACUCUACACCUCCUGAACUUCUCCACAGAGCACCAUGACAAAAACAUUCAGGUGACUUCCUGCUGCCAAGCAAACCAAACACCUGUCAACCAUUCUACUCAUCUAACUCACAAAUUCCCUUCAAA
rnacentral:misc_RNA from 1 species